rnacentral:rRNA from 1 species
AGAGUUUGAUCAUGGCUCAGAUUGAACGCUGGCGGCAGGCCUAACACAUGCAAGUCGAACGGUAACAGGAAGCAGCUUGCUGCUUCGCUGACGAGUGGCGGACGGGUGAGUAAUGUCUGGGAAACUGCCUGAUGGAGGGGGAUAACUACUGGAAACGGUAGCUAAUACCGCAUAACGUCGCAAGACCAAAGAGGGGGACCUUCGGGCCUCUUGCCAUCGGAUGUGCCCAGAUGGGAUUAGCUUGUUGGUGGGGUAAUGGCUCACCAAGGCGACGAUCCCUAGCUGGUCUGAGAGGAUGACCAGCCACACUGGAACUGAGACACGGUCCAGACUCCUACGGGAGGCAGCAGUGGGGAAUAUUGCACAAUGGGCGCAAGCCUGAUGCAGCCAUGCCGCGUGUAUGAAGAAGGCCUUCGGGUUGUAAAGUACUUUCAGCGGGGAGGAAGGGAGUAAAGUUAAUACCUUUGCUCAUUGACGUUACCCGCAGAAGAAGCACCGGCUAACUCCGUGCCAGCAGCCGCGGUAAUACGGAGGGUGCAAGCGUUAAUCGGAAUUACUGGGCGUAAAGCGCACGCAGGCGGUUUGUUAAGUCAGAUGUGAAAUCCCCGGGCUCAACCUGGGAACUGCAUCUGAUACUGGCAAGCUUGAGUCUCGUAGAGGGGGGUAGAAUUCCAGGUGUAGCGGUGAAAUGCGUAGAGAUCUGGAGGAAUACCGGUGGCGAAGGCGGCCCCCUGGACGAAGACUGACGCUCAGGUGCGAAAGCGUGGGAGCAAACAGGAUUAGAUACCCUGGUAGUCCACGCCGUAAACGAUGUCGACUUGGAGGUUGUGCCCUUGAGGCGUGGCUUCCGGAGCUAACGCGUUAAGUCGACCGCCUGGGGAGUACGGCCGCAAGGUUAAAACUCAAAUGAAUUGACGGGGGCCCGCACAAGCGGUGGAGCAUGUGGUUUAAUUCGAUGCAACGCGAAGAACCUUACCUGGUCUUGACAUCCACGGAAGUUUUCAGAGAUGAGAAUGUGCCUUCGGGAACCGUGAGACAGGUGCUGCAUGGCUGUCGUCAGCUCGUGUUGUGAAAUGUUGGGUUAAGUCCCGCAACGAGCGCAACCCUUAUCCUUUGUUGCCAGCGGUCCGGCCGGGAACUCAAAGGAGACUGCCAGUGAUAAACUGGAGGAAGGUGGGGAUGACGUCAAGUCAUCAUGGCCCUUACGACCAGGGCUACACACGUGCUACAAUGGCGCAUACAAAGAGAAGCGACCUCGCGAGAGCAAGCGGACCUCAUAAAGUGCGUCGUAGUCCGGAUUGGAGUCUGCAACUCGACUCCAUGAAGUCGGAAUCGCUAGUAAUCGUGGAUCAGAAUGCCACGGUGAAUACGUUCCCGGGCCUUGUACACACCGCCCGUCACACCAUGGGAGUGGGUUGCAAAAGAAGUAGGUAGCUUAACCUUCGGGAGGGCGCUUACCACUUUGUGAUUCAUGACUGGGGUGAAGUCGUAACAAGGUAACCGUAGGGGAACCUGCGGUUGGAUCACCU